GACGAACGCUGGCGGCGUGCUUAACACAUGCAAGUCGAACGGAAAGGCCCUGCUUUUGUGGGGUGCUCGAGUGGCGAACGGGUGAGUAACACGUGAGUAACCUGCCCUUGACUUUGGGAUAACUUCAGGAAACUGGGGCUAAUACCGGAUAGGAGCUCCUGCUGCAUGGUGGGGGUUGGAAAGUUUCGGCGGUUGGGGAUGGACUCGCGGCUUAUCAGCUUGUUGGUGGGGUAGUGGCUUACCAAGGCUUUGACGGGUAGCCGGCCUGAGAGGGUGACCGGCCCACUUGGGGAUGGGGAUCGGCCCCGGAUCCUACCGGGGGCAGGCGUGGGGAAUUUUGCCCCAUGGGCCGAAGCCUUAAGCCGCCACGCCGGGUGCCGGAAGACCGCCUUUGGGUUGUAAACCGCUUUCGCCUGUGACGAAGCGUGAGUGACGGUAAUGGGUAAAGAAGCACCGGCUAACUACGUG
rnacentral:rRNA from 1 species